GGUAGCAAUACGUCAGUGGCAGACGGGUGAGUAACACGUGGGAACGUACCUUUUGGUUCGGAACAACACAGGGAAACUUGUGCUAAUACCGGAUAAGCCCUUACGGGAAAGAUUUAUCGCCGAAAGAUCGGCCCGCGUCUGAUUAGCUAGUUGGUGAGGUAAUGGCUCACCAAGGCGACGAUCAGUAGCUGGUCUGAGAGGAUGAUCAGCCACAUUGGGACUGAGACACGGCCCAAACUCCUACGGGAGGCAGCAGCC
rnacentral:rRNA from 1 species